GGACGUAUGGUGAAAUUGGCAUACACGCCCCUCGACAAGGGGUCCGGUAGCUCCGGUUGCAGGUUCGAGUCCUGCUACGUCCAC
rnacentral:tRNA from 8 species